UAUAUUAGGCUGAUUGGUAAAGCGCUUGGCUUCCAAACCAAGGCAUCCCAGGUUUGAAUCCUGGUGUA
rnacentral:tRNA from 1 species